GUCCCUAUUAGCUCAGUCAGUAGAGCGUGAGACUCUGAAUCUCAGGGCUGUGGGUUCGAGCCUGAUGUGGGGCA